GAUGAACGCUGACAGAAUGCUUAACACAUGCAAGUCGAUUCGAUUUACCUUCGGGUAUUGAGGAUGGCGGACGGGUGAGUAACGCGUAAGGAACUUGCCUCUUGGUCUGGGACAACUGUUGGAAACGACAGCUAAUACCGGAUAUUAUGAGACUCUCGCAUGGGAAACUUAUGAAAGCUAUAUGCGCCAAGAGAGAGCCUUGCGUUCCAUUAGCUAGUUGGUGGGGUAACGGCCCACCAAGGCGACGAUGGAUAGCCGGCCUGAGAGGGUGAACGGCCACAAGGGGACUGAGACACGGCCCUUACUCCUACGGGAGGCAGCAGUGGGGAAUAUUGGACAAUGGGCCACAAGCCUGAUCCAGCAAUUCUGUGUGCACGAUGAAGGUCUUCGGAUUGUAAAGUGCUUUCAGUUGGGAAGAAGAAAGUGACGGUACCAACAGAAGAAGCGACGGCUAAAUACGUGCCAGCAGCCGCGGUAAUACGUAUGUCGCAAGCGUUAUCCGGAUUUAUUGGGCGUAAAGCGCGUCUAGGCGGAAAAAUAAGUCUGAUGUUAAAAUGCGGGGCUCAACUCCGUAUUGCGUUGGAAACUGUUUUUCUAGAGUACUGGAGAGGUGGGCGGAACUACAAGUGUAGAGGUGAAAUUCGUAGAUAUUUGUAGGAAUGCCNAUGGAGAAGUCAGCUCACUGG
rnacentral:rRNA from 1 species